rnacentral:rRNA from 1 species
UACGUAGGGUGCAAGCGUUAAUCGGAAUUACUGGGCGUAAAGCGUGCGCAGGCGGUUGUGUAAGACAGAUGUGAAAUCCCCGGGCUCACCUGGGAACUGCAUUUGUGACUGCACAGCUGGAGUGCGGCAGAGGGGGGAUGGAAUUCCGCGUGUAGCAGUGAAAUGCGUAGAUAUGCGGAGGAACACCGAUGGCGAAGGCAAUCCCCUGGGCCUGCACUGACGCUCAUGCACGAAAGCGU